UACGAAGGGGGCUAGCGUUGCUCGGAAUCAUUGGGCGUAAAGCGCGCGUAGGCGGCCCUGUAAGUCCGUUGUGAAAGUCAAAGGCUCAACCUUUGAAAGCCGAUGGAUACUGCAGGGCUAGAGUCCGGAAGAGGCGAGUGGAAUUCCUGGUGUAGCGGUGGAAUGCGCAGAUAUCAGGAGGAACACCAAUAGCGAAGGCAGCUCGCUGGGACGGUACUGACGCUAAGGCGCGAAAGCGUGGGGAGCGAACGAGG
rnacentral:rRNA from 1 species